AAAAAAGGUAAGCUACUAAGAGCGAAUGGUGGAUGCCUUGACUGGUAAAGGCGAUGAAGGACGUACUAGACUGCGAUAAGCUACGGGGAGCUGUCAAGAAGCUUUGAUCCGUAGAUUUCCGAAUGGGGCAACCCAAUGUAUAGAGAUAUACAUUACCUAUAUAGGAGCGAACGAGGGGAAUUGAAACAUCUUAGUACCCUCAGGAAAAGAAAUCAAUAGAGAUUGCGUCAGUAGCGGCGAGCGAAAGCGCAAGAGGGCAAACCCAGUGCUUGCACUGGGGGUUGUAGGACUGCAAUGUGCAAGAGGUGAGUUUAGCAGAACAUUCUGGAAAGUAUAGCCAUAGAGGGUGAUAGUCCCGUAUGCGAAAAACAAACCUUAGCUAGCAGUAUCCUGAGUAGGGCGGGACACGAGAAAUCCUGUCUGAAGCUGGGUCGACCACGAUCCAACCCUAAAUACUAAUACCAGAUCGAUAGUGCACAAGUACCGUGAGGGAAAGGUGAAAAGAACUGAGGUGAUCAGAGUGAAAUAGAACCUGAAACCAUUUGCUUACAAUCAUUCAGAGCCCUAUGUAGCAAUACAGGGUGAUGGACUGCCUUUUGCAUAAUGAGCCUGCGAGUUGUGGUGUCUGGCAAGGUUAAGCAAACGCGAAGCCGUAGCGAAAGCGAGUCUGAAUAGGGCGCUUAGUCAGAUGCUGCAGACCCGAAACGAAGUGAUCUAUCCAUGAGCAAGUUGAAGCUAGUGUAAGAACUAGUGGAGGACUGAACCCAUAGGCGUUGAAAAGCCCCGGGAUGACUUGUGGAUAGGGGUGAAAGGCCAAUCAAACUUCGUGAUAGCUGGUUCUCUCCGAAAUAUAUUUAGGUAUAGCGUUGUGUCGUAAUAUAAGGGGGUAGAGCACUGAAUGGGCUAGGGCAUACACCAAUGUACCAAACCCUAUCAAACUCCGAAUACCUUAUAUGUAAUCACAGCAGUCAGGCGGCGAGUGAUAAAAUCCGUCGUCAAGAGGGAAACAACCCAGACUACCAGCUAAGGUCCCUAAAUCUUACUUAAGUGGAAAACGAUGUGAAGUUACUUAAACAACCAGGAGGUUGGCUUAGAAGCAGCCAUCCUUUAAAGAAAGCGUAAUAGCUCACUGGUCUAGUGAUUUUGCGCGGAAAAUAUAACGGGGCUAAAGUAAGUACCGAAGCUGUAGACUUGCACACAACUUAGAUUAUUUAAGUUUAGAAUAUGAGAAACUAAGUUAUAUGUUUAGUUAUAUUUUUACUGAUUUUUAUAGAGUAAAGAUAGAAAUAAAACUUAGUAAAAUCAGUAAAAAUAUUCUUAGACUAAAGUUAAGUAGUUUAAGUUGUGUGCAAGUGGUAGGAGAGCGUUCUAUUUGCGUCGAAGGUAUACCGGUAAGGAGUGCUGGAGCGAAUAGAAGUGAGCAUGCAGGCAUGAGUAGCGAUAAUUAAUGUGAGAAUCAUUAACGCCGUAAACCCAAGGUUUCCUACGCGAUGCUCGUCAUCGUAGGGUUAGUCGGGUCCUAAGUCGAGUCCGAAAGGGGUAGACGAUGGCAAAUUGGUUAAUAUUCCAAUACCAACAUUAGUGUGCGAUGGAAGGACGCUUAGGGCUAAGGGGGCUAGCGGAUGGAAGUGCUAGUCUAAGGUCGUAGGAGGUUAUACAGGCAAAUCCGUAUAACAAUACUCCGAGAACUGAAAGGCUUUUUGAAGUCUUCGGAUGGAUAGAAGAACCCCUGAUGCCGUCGAGCCAAGAAAAGUUUCUAAGUUUAGCUAAUGUUGCCCGUACCGUAAACCGACACAGGUGGGUGGGAUGAGUAUUCUAAGGCGCGUGGAAGAACUCUCUUUAAGGAACUCUGCAAAAUAGCACCGUAUCUUCGGUAUAAGGUGUGGUUAGCUUUGUAUUAGGAUUUACUCCGAAAGCAAGGAAACUUACAACAAAGAGUCCCUCCCGACUGUUUACCAAAAACACAGCACUCUGCUAACUCGUAAGAGGAUGUAUAGGGUGUGACGCCUGCCCGGUGCUCGAAGGUUAAUUGAUGGGGUUAGCAUUAGCGAAGCUCUUGAUCGAAGCCCGAGUAAACGGCGGCCGUAACUAUAACGGUCCUAAGGUAGCGAAAUUCCUUGUCGGUUAAAUACCGACCUGCAUGAAUGGCGUAACGAGAUGGGAGCUGUCUCAAAGAGGGAUCCAGUGAAAUUGUAGUGGAGGUGAAAAUUCCUCCUACCCGCGGCAAGACGGAAAGACCCCGUGGACCUUUACUACAGCUUGACACUGCUACUUGGAUAAGAAUGUGCAGGAUAGGUGGGAGGCUUUGAGUAUAUGACGCCAGUUGUAUAUGAGCCAUUGUUGAGAUACCACUCUUUCUUAUUUGGGUAGCUAACCAGCUUGAGUUAUCCUCAAGUGGGACAAUGUCUGGUGGGUAGUUUGACUGGGGCGGUCGCCUCCCAAAUAAUAACGGAGGCUUACAAAGGUUGGCUCAGAACGGUUGGAAAUCGUUCGUAGAGUAUAAAGGUAUAAGCCAGCUUAACUGCAAGACAUACAAGUCAAGCAGAGACGAAAGUCGGUCUUAGUGAUCCGGUGGUUCUGUGUGGAAGGGCCAUCGCUCAAAGGAUAAAAGGUACCCCGGGGAUAACAGGCUGAUCUCCCCCAAGAGCUCACAUCGACGGGGAGGUUUGGCACCUCGAUGUCGGCUCAUCGCAUCCUGGGGCUGGAGCAGGUCCCAAGGGUAUGGCUGUUCGCCAUUUAAAGCGGUACGCGAGCUGGGUUCAGAACGUCGUGAGACAGUUCGGUCUCUAUCUGCCGUGGGCGUAAGAAGAUUGAAGAGAUUUGACCCUAGUACGAGAGGACCGGGUUGAACAAACCACUGGUGUAGCUGUUGUUCUGCCAAGAGCAUCGCAGCGUAGCUAAGUUUGGAAAGGAUAAACGCUGAAAGCAUCUAAGCGUGAAGCCAACUCUAAGAUGAAUCUUCUCUAAGCUCUCUAGAAGACUACUAGUUUGAUAGGCUGGGUGUGUAAUGGAUGAAAGUCCUUUAGCUGACCAGUACUAAUAGAGCGUUUGGCUUAUCUUUAAUAAAGCAU
rnacentral:rRNA from 1 species